rnacentral:rRNA from 1 species
GACGAACGCUGGCGGCGUGCUUAACACAUGCAAGUCGAACGUGAUUUUUAUGGAAAGCCCUUCGGGGACGGAAAUGAAAUGAAAGUGGCGAACGGGUGAGUAACACGUGAGCAACCUACCUUACACAGGGGGAUAGCCGUUGGAAACGACGAUUAAUACCGCAUGAGACCACCAAGACACAUGUUUUGGAGGUAAAAGAUUUAUCGGUGUAAGAUGGGCUCGCGUCUGAUUAGCUAGUUGGAAGGGUAAAGGCCUACCAAGGCGACGAUCAGUAGCCGGUCUGAGAGGAUGAACGGCCACAUUGGAACUGAGACACGGUCCAAACUCCUACGGGAGGCAGCAGUGGGGAAUAUUGCACAAUGGGGGGAACCCUGAUGCAGCGACGCCGCGUGAGCGAAGAAGGUUUUCGAAUCGUAAAGCUCUGUCCUAUG